GCUCAGGUGGUGAAAUGGUAGACACGCACGCUUGAGGGGCGUGUGCCCGCGCGGCAUAUGGGUUCAAGUCCCAUUCUGAGCACCA
rnacentral:tRNA from 1 species